rnacentral:lncRNA from 1 species
CAAAACCUUAAACUUUUGUCUUUCCAGGAACGGUAAUGGUAGGAGAGAGAGAGCAGGGAUUGGGGAAUGCUGCCCCCCCAAAGUUUCUGUGGCUGCGCUUAGCACCCCAACCAUCCUCCUUUGUCCUCAGUGGAUCUAAAGUUUGAUACCCCAGGAGGGGAGCGCUUCACCGUCUGUACACUUUGCUGGUUAAUCAACGUCCAGGCAAGAGAGAGCCUCUCGGGUCGCCAGAAAGAUAACUGUCUUGGAAAGUGAACGGGAAAGACACUUGGAAUGAGAUAUCUGACACCUGGGUGCCUCUUUGUCUUUGCAGGAAGUGGUUACCUGGAAGGAAAGGAGCUGCAGAACUUGAUCCAGGAGCUCCAGCAGGCGCGAAAGAAGGCUGGAUUGGAGUUAUCACCUGAAAUGAAAACUUUUGUGGAUCAGUAUGGGCAAAGAGAUGAUGGAAAAAUAGGAAUUGUAGAGUUGGCUCACGUAUUACCCACAGAAGAGAAUUUCCUGCUGCUCUUCCGAUGCCAGCAGCUGAAGUCCUGU